AUUUCUCUUUUCUCACUCUCUCGGCACUCUCUCUCCUCCUCUCCUCCGAAAAACUUCCUCCUCUCUUCUCUCUUCGAUUUCAUCUACCUAGGGGGUGAUUCCGGACAAGGCCCGAGAAUUAAAGUUGCUAUACGAAGCAUGGGCUUUCCGAAUAUCCAAGAAAAAUCAUGAUCGGACCGCGUGGGAGCUUGGUUGACUUGGUCAAAGGUUCGGGUUUUGCUCAAAACCCAUGAGGUAAAAAGCAAGGAAGUUGGCAUGACGCGCAUCUCGUGCUUGUUGUUCACGUGUCUCGGAGGUAUAAAGAAGGAGUUGAAUUUGCAUUUUUUUUUGGAAGUAGUAUUCGGAAGAAAGAUUAAUGAAAACUGUAAUAUUAUUAUGGUAUUUGAUAACUUGGGGCUUCGAGCCAAACUUGUAUCUUUUAAAUUUAACUUUGAGAACUGGGGAAAAUAAGUCAUUUGGGUAUUACCGGUACUUCAA